rnacentral:rRNA from 1 species
UACGAAGGGGGCUAGCGUUGUUCGGAUUUACUGGGCGUAAAGCGCACGUAGGCGGACAUUUAAGUCAGGGGUGAAAUCCCAGAGCUCAACUCUGGAACUGCCUUUGAUACUGGAUGUCUGGAGUAUGGAAGAGGUAAGUGGAAUUCCGAGUGUAGAGGUGAAAUUCGUAGAUAUUCGGAGGAACACCAGUGGCGAAGGCGGCUCACUGGCCCGUUACCGACGCUCAGGCGCGACAGCGUGGGGAGCAAACAGG